AAUGAACGUUGGCGGCAUGGAUUAGGCAUGCAAGUCGAGCGAGAAGAGUUUUGAAGCUUGCUUUAGAACUCGGACAGCGGCGAAAGGGAGAGUAACGCGUAGUUAUGUGCCCUAGGGUCCGGAAUAGCCACGGGAAACUGUGGGUAAUGCCGGAUAAUAUCCCCGGAUCAAAGGUGUGAUUCCGCCCUAGGAGCAGACUGCGUCCUACUAGCUAGUUGGUGGGGUAAUGGCCUACCAAGGCAAUGAUGGGUAGCGGGUGUGAGAGCAUGACCCGUCUCACUGGGACUGAGACACUGCCCAGACACCUACGGGUGGCUGCAGUCGAGAAUCUUCGGCAAUGGCGAAAGCCUGACCGAGCGAUGCCGCGUGCGGGAUGAAGGCCCUCGGGUUGUAAACCGCUGUCGUAGGGGAGGAAGGUUCCGUGAAGAGCGGAAUUUGACCUAUCCUAGGAGGAAGUACGGGCUAAGUUCGUGCCAGCAGCCGCCGUAAAAC
rnacentral:rRNA from 1 species